rnacentral:rRNA from 1 species
CUAGCGACUUCAGAGUUUGAUCCUGGCUCAGGAUGAACGCUGGCGGCGUGCCUAAUACAUGCAAGUCGAGCGAAUUGACAGAGGUGCUUGCACCUCUCGAUUUUAGCGGCGGACGGGUGAGUAACACGUGGGUAACCUACCUAUAAGACUGGGAUAACUUCGGGAAACCGGAGCUAAUACCGGAUAAUAUUUAGCUUCGCAUGAAGCAAUAGUGAAAGACGGUUCUGCUGUCACUGAUAGAUGGACCUGCGGUGUAUUAGCUAGUUGGUGAGGUAACGGCUCACCAAGGCAACGAUACAUAGCCGACCUGAGAGGGUGAUCGGCCACACUGGGACUGAGACACGGCCCAG